CUUUAGGGCUAGCCUCAAGGUGAGAGAUACGGAGGUAGAGCACUGAAUGUCCUAGGGGGUAUUGCACCUACCGAAGACUAUCAAACUCCGAAUGCCGUCAUCUUAUACUUGGGAGUCAGACUGUGGGUGAUAAGAUUCAUAGUCGAAAGGGCAACAGCCCAGAUCGUCAGCUAAGGUCCCUAAAUGUAAGUUAAGUGGUAAAGGAUGUGGGAUUGCACAGACAACCAGGAUGUUGGCUUAGAAGCAGCCACUCAUUCAAAGAGUGCGUAAUAGCUCACUGGUCGAGUGAUCCUGCGCCGAAGAUUUCCGGGGCUAAAACUUACUACCGAAGCUACGGCAUCAGUAAUGAUGGGUAGGGGAGCUUCCCAUACGGGUUGAAGCAUGACCGUAAGGACAUGUGGACAGUAUGGGAGUGAGAAUGUUGGCAUGAGUAGCGAGAUGUGGGUGAGAAUCCCACAGGCCGUAAACCCAAGGUUUCCAGGGGAAGGUUCGUCCGCCCUGGGUUAGUCGGGACCUAAGCUGAGGCCGAAAGGCGUAGGUGAUGGACAACAGGUUGAUAUUCCUGUACUACCGAUAACCGUUUGAGAGAAGGGAUGACACAGUAGGAUAAGCUAAGCACACUGUUGGUUAUGUGUGCCCAAGCAUUGAGGCAGUCAAAGUAGGCAAAUCCGCUUUGAUAAUGCUGGGAUGUGAUGGGGAGCGAAAUUUAGUAGCGAAGUAGCUGAUUUCACACUGUCAAGAAAAGUCUCUAUCGAGGUUAAAGGUACCCGUACCGCAAACCGACACAGGUGGGUGAGGAGAGUAUCCUAAGGC
rnacentral:rRNA from 1 species